UACGUAGGGGGCUAGCGUUGUCCGGAUUUAUUGGGCGUAAAGAGCGUGUAGGCGGUCCGGUAAGUCCGCUGUGAAAGUCGGGGGCUCAACCCUCGGAUGCCGGUGGAUACUGUCGGGCUUGAGUACGGAAGAGGCGAGUGGAAUUCCUGGUGUAGCGGUGAAAUGCGGCAGAUAUCAGGAAGAACACCCGUGGCGAAGGCGGU
rnacentral:rRNA from 1 species